GAUGAACGCUGGCGGCGUGCCUAAUACAUGCAAGUCGAGCGAACAGACGAGGAGCUUGCUCCUCUGACGUUAGCGGCGGACGGGUGAGUAACACGUGGAUAACCUACCUAUAAGACUGGGAUAACUUCGGGAAACCGGAGCUAAUACCGGAUAAUAUAUUGAACCGCAUGGUUCAAUAGUGAAAGACGGUUUUGCUGUCACUUAUAGAUGGAUCCGCGCCGCAUUAGCUAGUUGGUAAGGUAACGGCUUACCAAGGCAACGAUGCGUAGCCGACCUGAGAGGGGGAUCGGCCACACGGGAACUGAGCCACGGUCCAGACUCCUACGGGAGGCAGCAGUAGGGAAUCUUCCGCAAUGGGCGAAAGCCUGACGGAGCAACGCCGCGUGAGUGAUGAAGGUCUUCGGAUCGUAAAACUCUGUUAUUAGGGAAGAACAAAUGUGUAAGUAACUAUGCACGUCUUGACGGUACCUAAUCAGAAAGCCACGGCUAACUACGUG
rnacentral:rRNA from 1 species